GGGAAAUUAAGUGAGAGUGACGUUCACCAUAUGUUGUCAGAAUUUUUUGCUUCACAAAUAAAGGGCAACAUGAAUCCCUGUAGCUAGCCUUCCAUAAAUAUAUGAUGGAUCUUUUUUUGUAGAGAGAAUGCCAUAUUGAAACGAAAUUGUGCACAAUUUCCAAAGAAACAAAUUCCAUAACGGAAAUAGGGCUCAAUUCGUGCAAAAUAAACUGAUUUUGUAAUAGCAGUAUCUAACUCUCUUGCAUCAACUCUCAUUGCAUGGCAUCCUGCUGCUAGUCUUUUACAUAAGUAGUCAACAUGGGAAUCAACUUUUAGAUUUUCAUCAAUGUAGAGCCCUAAAAAUUUGUUUUUCUCCAACCUUUCAAUUUCUACAUUUAGAGUGUACUCCCCCAAUGUCACAUCUAAACGUGACCGCAUUUGUUUUGUCGAUGUUGAAUGAUAGAAGAUUGGAAUCGCACCACAUUUUCACCCUUCUUAUGUCAACGAUGAUUUGAUCAGGUAAAUUUGAGAUGGUAUUGCUAUGCCAGAGGAUAGUGGUGUCGUCAGCGAAACAUGUGAAUUUACCACUUACGUCAACAUGGACUAAGUCAUUAGCAUAAAUGAGAAACAACACCGGCCCCAAACCGGAAUCUUGUGGGACCUCAAAGUCAAUGAAACCUCCCUCUGAUAAAAUUCCAUCUAAUAGAACAAUCUGCCGCCGAUGGGAAAGCUUAUGAAGAAGUAGCACGUGGUCUACACAGUCGAAGGCCUUGAAUAGAUCACAAAACAUGGUCGCUGCAGAUUCUCUGUCUUUGUGUACAGGUUUUCCAGUAGUGAAAAUAUAGCAUCUUGUGCACCUUUUGAAGACUGAAUGAAAGAAAGCUUCUACUCCAUUGAAGAAUAUUUACAAAAACAAAAUGUCAUUGCACCUGUAUAAGUUGUUAUGUGUAUACCUGAAGUUAUUUUUUUAUAUAGUCUAUUUUCUUUUGAUUUUUAAUGUAGUAUUAUGAUGAAUCUUUUACAAUUUUUGUAUUGUCUGAUGUAAAAUAAAUUAUUAUUAUACUCGACUAUUGAGCAUAGUUGAAAUCGGUAAUUUUGCGAAAUUA